rnacentral:rRNA from 1 species
UCGACGGGGCGAGGAAAGCUUGCUUUCUGAGCCUAGUGGCGGACGGGUGAGUAACGCGUGAGUAACCUGCCUUUCAGAGGGGGAUAACAUCCUGAAAAGGAUGCUAAUACCGCAUGAUAUCCAAGCAUCGCAUGGUGAGUGGAUCAAAGGAGCAAUCCGCUGAAAGAUGGACUCGCGUCCGAUUAGCCAGUUGGCGGGGUAACGGCCCACCAAAGCGACGAUCGGUAGCCGGACUGAGAGGUUGAACGGCCACAUUGGGACUGAGACACGGCCCAGACUCCUACGGGAGGCAGCAGUGGGGGAUAUUGCACAAUGGGGGAAACCCUGAUGCAGCAACGCCGCGUGAGUGAAGAAGGUCUUCGGAUUGUAAAGCUCUGUUCUUGGUGAAGAUAAUGACGGUAGCCAAGGAGAAAGCUCCGGCUAACUACGUGCCAGCAGCCGCGGUAAUACGUAGGGAGCGAGCGUUGUCCGGAUUUACUGGGUGUAAAGGGUGCGCAGGCGGCUCUGCAAGUCAGGCGUGAAAGCUAGGGGCUCAACCCCUAAACUGCGCUUGAAACUGUGGAGCUUGAGUGAAGUAGAGGCAGGCGGAAUUCCCGGUGUAGCGGUGAAAUGCGUAGAGAUCGGGAGGAACACCAGUGGCGAAGGCGGCCUGCUGGGCUUUAACUGACGCUCAGGCACGAAAGCAUGGGUAGCAAACAGGAUUAGAUACCCUGGUAGUCCAUGCCGUAAACGAUGAUUACUAGGUGUGGGGGGUCUG